rnacentral:rRNA from 1 species
UACAGAGGGCUCAAGCGUUGUUCGGAUUCAUUGGGCGUAAAGGGUGCGUAGGCGGCGCGGUAAGUCGGGUGUGAAAUCUCGGAGCUUAACUCCGAAACUGCAUUCGAUACUGCCGUGCUUGAGGACUGGAGAGGAGACUGGAAUUUACGGUGUAGCGGUGAAAUGCGUAGAGAUGUGGAGGAACACCAGUGGCGAAGGCGACUCUUUGGUCUGUAACUGACGCUGAGGCGCGAAAGCGUGGGGAGCAAACAGG